CCCCCGCGGGCGCGCUGUCGGCUUGUUUGGAAAGCCCAGAGGCGCUUCGAGGUAAAAAGAUGUUUCUCUUCUUUCCCGUCUUCCUCUCAAGACCCUCUGGGCUGACCCGGCGCGGGGGCUCACGCCUGUAAUCCCAGCACUUUGGAAAGCGGAGGCGGGCGGAUCACUUGAGCCCGGGAGUUGGAGACCAUCCUGGGCGAAAUGGCAAAACCCUGUCUCUACAAAAAUACAAAAAUCAGCCGGGAGUGGUGGUGUGCGCCUGUGGUCCCAGCUACUCUGGAGACUGAGGUGGAGAAUCGCUUGAACCUGAGAGGCAGAGGUUGCAGUGAACGGAGAUUAUGCCACUGUACUCCAGCCUGAGCAACAGAGCGAGACCCUGUCUCAAACAAACAAACAAAAACCAAAACACAAAACCAAAAAACAAAACACAAACCAAAAAACUGCACUCCAGCCUGAGCGACAGAGCCAGACCCUGUCUCAAAAAAAAAAAAAAAAAAAGAAAAGAAAAAGAAAAAUCUCUGGGAAUUGCAUUCAUUCCACAGACUUCUUCCAUGCUUUUCUGGAUUCUCCCAAUAACCAAGGGACUGACAACUGUCAAGCCUGAAUGCCUGGGACCCAAUCCUGCUUAGGCCACACCCACUGAAGUCACCAACAAUCUAUCAUUCAUGACAGCAAGCAAAGACUGA
rnacentral:lncRNA from 1 species